rnacentral:sRNA from 1 species
CAUGCAAAUCUUCAUCUUAGCAUGAUGACAAAGUGCUUACUUGAACCCAAGAUCCUUCACGAGUCUCCCCAGUGGUGUCUUAGUGAUCCUGACUCCCCUUUCUAAUAGAAUAUCUGACAGUCGACGAAGGGAAACGUACUGGCCCUUCAACUGCAUAUCAUGAAUGGUCCUCUUCACCAAGUCUUCAUCGAAGUCAUCAAGCUUUCUACUGGGGCCACGUUUCUUCUUUGGAGCUAGAACUUGCAUGUCUUCCACCACCAUUUCGACGGGAUCAGGGUCCACUUUUCAAUGUUUUCUCAGAUAUUCCUAAAUAUGAAAAAAUAGAUUUCAGUAAUCAUGGUGGAUAUAUAUUUAUUAGUACCGUGUACCAAAAUACAGUUGAUUUAUAUAGAUGCAAAAAAAUUUGCAAAAUUAAAAGUACUUUACUCUAAUGUUAGAUAUUUUUAUUACAAAAAUAAAUUUGUCUAUUCGAAAC